AAUAUUUAGAUCUACGUUUUUAUUUUGAAAUUAUAAUGCAAUGUUAAUAUUCUUAUAUUACAUAUGAAGGUUACAGAAGAAACAUAUGGUAAGUACAUUUUUGUAAAUUUUCUGAUUUCAGUGCUAGUUUAUGUUAGUUCAGAGGAUUUUUAUAUAGCAUGGCUAGAAAUGAAAACAACCUGUUAGGUCCAAAGAUAGCUGAAAAAAUAGCUGAUAAAGUAAAAAUAAAAACAAGCAAUAUUUUAAUACAUCCAAUGUUCUAAUAUUGUGAGAAGCAAUAUUUAAAAAAUUUUGAGAAGUAUGAAGAAACACAUAUUCAGCUCUAAUAAUAUGAAAUAAGAAGGCAGUUUUGGUAAUAUAGGAUUAACUAACAAUAUUCGAAACUUUAAAACUGUAUUAUACAUACGAUAUAAAAUAGUAUUAUAUAAUAUUAAUAAUAUAAAUAUAUAAUAAUAGUUCUUAUUAUCACACUUUGGUUAUCAUUAUAUAGUUUCACUACUAACUCAUAUAUUUCUUAUUACAGUUUCCACCAAUAAUACCAAUCCUCUCAGACUCCUAAACGAAGCUUACAAUUUGCAACGCCCUUCCGAAGAAAAAAAUAAUCUAACCUUUCUCACGGAAUUUAGCCAUAGUUCCCUUUAGGUGGCAGAAGAAGCUCUUAUUACUCAUUCCUAGCCCGCAACAUUUUGUCGAAGAUUGACCCUGUAACAUACAUAAGGGCCGUUUCUGGGGGAACCGGGGACCAGGAGAAAGGGCGUGGAACACACGAUCAAGGAGAAACAGGUUUCUAUUCGCGGAGACUUCCACUUACCGGCCGUCGACUCCGUGGUCGAUGCUCUGGCGAUCUGGUUCAACGACUUUCUUCUCCGCGUACAAAACAAGCUAUGGGCAUUUCUUUGACCUCCUGACUAGCGUGCGCGCGCGGAUUACAUCACACUCUUGUAAUCGCUCGGCCACCAAGUUUUUUCGCCGGAGGAGACGCCAUGAUGCACAAAAACGUAUAUCAGGAGAAAUGUUGGUAUUAGGAAAAUCAUGCAUUGGCGUAGGGCCUUCCAAUUACAAUUUAUAUAAAAUGCUCAGUUACUAUAUACAUAUUAAACUUUCAUUAUUUUUGUUUCAUGUCCAUCCAUUUACAAUGUGCAAGUCUAUUAAUUUUGGUAAAUUUCUAUAGGAUGCAUUAUUGGUUAAAGAUAAUUUCGUCGAAGUUUUGUAACAUGGGAAAUAGUUUCUCGAUUACUGAAAGUUGAAAAACAGGGGAUCAUAGUUUAGACAAAAUGUCUCUCCCCCAUAGCUAUGUGCUAUUCUUAUCAUCCCAUCCUCCACACUUUCGCACAGUUCUCUUCACGUUAAAAAGGACUCUCCGUCACUUAGUCUCAGGUUAUUUUUGACUGGGGCUCGAAGUAACGGUCGAAGAGAAAGGAGAAAGAAAGAAGGCAAAAAAGCGAGAAAUAAAUUCUUCGAUCGCGUCGGAUGUGCACAUUAGGCGUGGUGAAGAAAAGAGCAGCGAUACAACAGGUGCCUCAUACAGGAAACCGGCAUUGUCGAGCUCCAAGGACAUACCGCUAUAAAAACUCUUCUAUUCCAUCCGGGCAGACAUAAAAAGGGCGUAGAAGAAUAGAAAAGGAAUGACCUUGAAGAGUAGGGUUGUCCAACGAGCGGGAAUAGCGCGCGCAUAGAUGCGUAAAUUAUGCGCCACUUUCUAAAUGAAAUAUAGGACUGGUUUGUGAAACCCGGAUUUUGGAGUCAGUUUUCCCGAAAUCGUACGAAAGUCGUGAGAGGGGAGGGCACCGUGCGUGCGUGUACGCGUGUUGCGUGCAGUAGGCCUACGGUGGAUGCACUUUUGGGAAAUCAUGCAUAUACGUGGCAACAUCGCACAGCGGGCUCACAUUCCACGUGAUCAGGACCGGUUUGCGGGUGUCGACCCACUGACACUCGUCCACUACAGAUAAACCUUGGCCCUGCAUAUGGGAUACAUACACCUUACUUGUGCUUCUUUUUAUUGCAACACUCAAGAUAUUCUAACCAUUGAUCCAUAAAAAUCCAUUGGACGAUCAAAGUCCCUGCUGUUUUACAAUGGUUAUACUACAACUACUACCAUUAAAAAAUAAUAUCUAUUUCCAAAUAUUAGAACAUGAACGAAUAAUUUGCAGUUAUUUAAAUUUUUAAUCCAUCUUAAUGGGUUAGGUUAUGCAGCAAUUUUCAGAAACAGAUUAGAAUUCUAAAGGAAUGACUCUAUAAUAACGUCAUAGAAUUCCAUUUCACUAAUUAGAACUAUAUUCCAUCCCUCAAUGUGCUCGCGUAAAUAGAAUAUUAUUACUAUAGAAAAUACCACUAGAGUAUAAUUAUUGUAGAAAAAAAUAGCUUGAAGUUUGAUCAGGGGAGUACUGAACGAGAAUUAUUAUCAAAUAAAUAAACACGCGAGGAGGGUUUGAUUCUUUCAUUAACACAUCGUACAGAUGUAUGUAAAGGCCUCGGCGUGCAUUGCAAGGCCAUUGACCGAAGGGAUCCCCGAUCGAUGAUCGGCUACCUGCUGAUACAUUGUUGCCUAUACAAUAGCGAAAGUAUUGUUGGUCCGGUGGGUACCCUCCGGCGUCAAGUGCAAUUAUUCCGUGUAACCGAGUGCACUUUGUUCCUACUGUUCAAGAUCUGCUUUGCCUUGUUGCAUGGCCAUUCAUUGCAGCUACCGGGUGCAACGCCCCAUUCACCUGUGUCAUCGGCCUCCACGAGUAAUUCUAUGUGCAUCCUUUCUUUCUAUAGUACACGAGUACUAUCUCGGAGCAAAAGAAGUUAUUAAAAAGUACUAUUACUAAAAAUAAUUACUAGAAAUAAUUAAUUUUAUUAGCAAGAUGCAAAAUGUUCUUUAUUAAUGUAGUCUUCUAAAAUUAGAUGGCAUGAAAAAUGAUUUUAUAUUGAAGGAUUAAGCAGUUUAUCAUUUUAAGUUUGAUAGAAUUAAAUAAUAAAGAUAAUUUAAUAUGCAUUUAA